rnacentral:rRNA from 1 species
GAUGAACGCUGGCGGCGUGCCUAAUACAUGCAAGUCGAGCGAACGGACGAGAAGCUUGCUUCUCUGAUGUUAGCGGCGGACGGGUGAGUAACACGUGGAUAACCUACCUAUAAGACUGGGAUAACUUCGGGAAACCGGAGCUAAUACCGGAUAAUAUUUUGAACCGCAUGGUUCAAAAGUGAAAGACGGUCUUGCUGUCACUUAUAGAUGGAUCCGCGCUGCAUUAGCUAGUUGGUAAGGUAACGGCUUACCAAGGCAACGAUGCAUAGCCGACCUGAGAGGGUGACCGGCCACACUGGAACUGAGACACGGUCCAGCCUCCUACGGGAGGCAGCAGUAGGGAAUCUUCCGCAAUGGGCGAAAGCCUGACGGAGCAACGCCGCGUGAGUGAUGAAGGUCUCCGGAUCGUAAAACUCUGUUAUUAGGGAAGAACAUAUGUGUAAGUAACUGUGCACAUCUUGACGGUACCUAAUCAGAAAGCCACGGCUAACUACGUG